rnacentral:rRNA from 1 species
AUUGAACGCUGGCGGCAUGCUUUACACAUGCAAGUCGAACGGCAGCACGGGCUUCGGCCUGGUGGCGAGUGGCGAACGGGUGAGUAAUAUAUCGGAACGUACCCAGAAGUGGGGGAUAACGUAGCGAAAGUUACGCUAAUACCGCAUACGAUCUAUGGAUGAAAGCAGGGGACCGCAAGGCCUUGUGCUCCGGGAGCGGCCGAUAUCUGAUUAGCUAGUUGGUGAGGUAAAGGCUCACCAAGGCGACGAUCAGUAGCUGGUCUGAGAGGACGACCAGCCACACUGGAACUGAGACACGGUCCAGACUCCUACGGGAGGCAGCAGUGGGGAAUUUUGGACAAUGGGCGCAAGCCUGAUCCAGCAAUGCCGCGUGAGUGAAGAAGGCCUUCGGGUUGUAAAGCUCUUUUGUCAGGGAAGAAACGGUAGAGGCUAAUAUCCUUUGCUAAUGACGGUACCUGAAGAAUAAGCACCGGCUAACUACGUG